rnacentral:rRNA from 1 species
AGCGAACGCUGGCGGCAGGCCUAACACAUGCAAGUCGAACGGAUCCUUCGGGAUUAGUGGCGGACGGGUGAGUAACACGUGGGAACGUGCCCUUUGGUUCGGAACAACUCUGGGAAACUUGAGCUAAUACCGGAUGUGCCCUUCGGGGGAAAGAUUUAUCGCCAUUGGAGCGGCCCGCGUCUGAUUAGCUAGUUGGUGAGGUAAGGCUCACCAAGGCGACGAUCAGUAGCUGGUCUGAGAGGAUGAUCAGCCACAUUGGGACUGAGACACGGCCCAAACUCCUACGGGAGGCAGCAGUGGGGAAUCUUGCGCAAUGGGCGAAAGCCUGACGCAGCCAUGCCGCGUGAAUGAUGAAGGUCUAGGAUUGUAAAAUUCUUUACACCGGGGACGAUAAUGACGGUACCCGGAGAAGAAGCCCGGCUAACUCGUGCCAGCAGCCGCGG